CCUACGGGAGGCAGCAGUGAGGAAUAUUGGUCAAUGGACGAGAGUCUGAACCAGCCAAGUAGCGUGAAGGAUGACUGCCCUAUGGGUUGUAAACAUCUUUUAUAAAGGAAUAAAACGAGGCACGUGUGCCUUUUUGCAUGUACUUUAUGAAUAAGGAUAGGAUAAAGCCGGUCCAACAGCCGCGGUAAUACGGGGGAUCCGAGCGUUUACCGGAUUUGUUGGGUUUAAAGGGAGCGUAGAUGGGUUGUUAAGUCAGUUGUGAAAGUUUGCGGCUCAACCGGAAAAUUGCAAUUGAUACUGGCAGUCUUGAGUACAGGUGAGGUAUGCGGAAUUCGUGGUGUAGCGGUGAAAUGCUUAGAUAUCACGAAGAACCCCGAUUGCGAAGGCAGCUUACUAAACUGUGACUGACAUUGAUGCUCGAAAGUGUGGGUAUCAAACAGGAUUAGAUACCCCAGUAGUC
rnacentral:rRNA from 1 species